CACACAUAGCAGACGCCAACACAUCAAGCGUCAUCAAUAGCGUGGUCUGUGGUGCAAUGCUAUCUGGAGUAAGGCGUUUACCUUCGAUUCCUACAAUUCGGCGUCAUGAUUGGCCUACCCUGAUGGCGUCAUGAUCGCUGCUGAUUGCCUUUCAAACAGGUUUUCAGCAUUCUGCUUACACCUUUGGCAUAGAGUCACAUAUUUCACAAUCCAACAUCAAUUGGUACCAACAGCAGCCCUUCUCUCCAUCAUCCAGAAGGGUCUGAGAUCAGUGUUGGAGAUGAUGGUUCGGAACAACCCAUGGAAAGCUUAUCACUCAUUGAUGCUGUGAUGCCUGAUAUUGUUGCAAGUCGUCAACAGCAAACACAGAACAAUCAGAAACCACAAGUGGUAAAGACAGAACCACCAAAUUCCAAUGGAGAUGAACCCAUGCAUUCCUAUCGCUGGGAAGAGGAAACAGGAGUAGAGAUACCUUCCAGCAAAUCAACUGUACUUCGUGGCCAUGAAUCUGAAGUUUGGCGAAGGAUGGUCGCCCAGAAGAGAACGCACCAGCAUCUCGAUGUACUCCUCUGAUCUUUGCCGGUCGAUUACCAUGGACUACACGGAAGAUGUCGAAAAAAUCAAC